rfam:Candidatus Gottesmanbacteria bacterium RBG_16_43_7 RBG_16_scaffold_4005, whole genome shotgun sequence.
GCCAGCGUAGCUCAGUGGUAGUAGCACAUACUUCAUAAGUAUGGGGUCACAGGUUCGAUCCCUGUCGCUGGCA